UACGGAGGGUGCGAGCGUUGUCCGGAAUCACUGGGCGUAAAGGGCGCGUAGGCGGCGCGGGAAGUCCGUGGUGAAAGCCCGAGGCUCAACUUCGGGUCGGCCAUGGAUACUCCUGGGCUUGAGCACUGUAGAGGCAGGUGGAAUUCCGGGUGUAGCGGUGGAAUGCGCAGAUAUCAGGAAGAACACCGGUGGCGAAGGCGGCUCUCUGGGCCUUACCUGACGCUGAGGAGCGAAAGCGUGGGUAGCGAACAGG
rnacentral:rRNA from 1 species